GUUGUGGCUCAGUGGUAGAGCACUUACCUCUCAAAUGUGGGACCCUGGGUUUGAUUCUCAGCACCACA
rnacentral:tRNA from 1 species